CGGGUGAGUAAUGCGUGACCAACCUGCCCCAUGCUCCAGAAUAGCUCUUGGAAACGGGUGGUAAUGCUGGAUGCUCCAACUUGACGCAUGUCUUGGUUAGGGAAAGUGUUUAGUGGCAUGGGAUGGGGUCGCGUCCUAUCAGCUUGUAGGCGGGGUAAUGGCCCACCUAGGCUUCGACGGGUAGCCGGCCUGAGAGGGCGGACGGCCACAUUGGGACUGAGAUACGGCCCAGACUCCUACGGGAGGCAGCAGAA
rnacentral:rRNA from 1 species